UACGGAGGAUCCAAGCGUUAUCCGGAUUUAUUGGGUUUAAAGGGUGCGUAGGCGGCUUAUUAAGUCAGGGGUGAAAGACGGUGGCUCAACCAUCGCAGUGCCCUUGAUACUGAUGAGCUUGAAUACACUUGAGGUAGGCGGAAUGUGACAAGUAGCGGUGAAAUGCAUAGAUAUGUCACAGAACACUAAUUGCGAAGGCAGCUUACUAAGGUGCAAUUGACGCUGAGGCACGAAAGCGUGGGGAGCGAACAGG
rnacentral:rRNA from 1 species